rnacentral:rRNA from 1 species
ACGGGGAGCACCACAACAGGUGGAGCCUGCGGUUUAAUCGGACUCAACGCCGGGAAACUCACCAGAUAAGACAGCUGAAUGAUAGUCGGGCUGAAGACUCUACUUGACUAGCUGAGAGGAGGUGCAUGGCCGUCGUCAGUUCGUACUGUGAAGCAUCCUGUUAAGUCAGGCAACGAGCGAGACCCACGCCAACAGUUGCCAGCUCGUCCUCCGGGAUGGUGGGGACACUGUUGGGACCGCCUCUGCUAAAGAGGAGGAAGGAAUGGGCAACGGUAGGUCAGCAUGCCCCGAAUUAUCUGGGCUACACGCGGGCUACAAUGGGUGGGACAAUGGGUAUCGACACCGAAAGGUGAAGGCAAGCUCCUAAACCCAUCCGUAGUUCGGAUUGUGGGCUGCAACUCGCCCACAUGAAGCUGGAAUCUGUAGUAAUCGUGUCUCAAAAUGGCACGGUGAAUAUGUCCCUGCUCCUU